GACGAACGCUGGCGGCGUGCUUAACACAUGCAAGUCGAACGGAAAGGGGCUGCUCGGGUGGGGUGCGCGAGGGGCGAAGGGGAGUGAAACAUGUGAGUAACCUGCCCUUGACUGUGGGAUCACUUCAGGAAACUGGGGCUAAUACCGGAUAGGUGCUCCUGCUGCAUGGGGGGGUUGGGAAAGUUUCGGCGGUGGGGGAUGGACUGGCGGCUUAUCAGCUUGUUGGUGGGGUAGUGGCUUACCAAGGCUUUGACGGGUAGCCGGCCGGAGAGGGUGACCGGCCACACUGGCACUGAGACACCGCCCAGCCUCCUACGGGAGGCAGACGUGGGGAACACUGCACUAUGGGCGCAACCCUGCUGCAGCAACGCCGCGUGCGGGGUGACGGCCUUCGGGUUGUAAACCGCUUUCGCCUGUGACGAAGCGUGAGUGACGGUACUGGGUAAAGAAGCGCCGGCUAACUACGUG
rnacentral:rRNA from 1 species